AUGGCUAGGCUGCCUUUAGAUCCAAUGCACUCCAAGGCAUUGAUAGUGUCUACCGAAUUCAAGUGCUUGGAAGGAUUGUUGAUUGAUGUUAGUAGCUACAGUUGUCUGAAUGAGACGACGUACAGGAGCAAUAAGAAGGAUCUCAUGAUGUACUUAUGGGCUACCGAGCAGAACCACAUAUAG
rnacentral:rRNA from 1 species